rnacentral:rRNA from 1 species
AACGCUGGCGGCAUGCCUUACACAUGCAAGUCGAACGGCAGCACGGGAGCAAUCCUGGUGGCGAGUGGCGAACGGGUGAGUAAUAUAUCGGAACGUGCCCAGUCGUGGGGGAUAACGUAGCGAAAGCUACGCUAAUACCGCAUACGAUCUAUGGAUGAAAGCGGGGGAUCGCAAGACCUCGCGCGAUUGGAGCGGCCGAUAUCAGAUUAGGUAGUUGGUGAGGUAAAGGCUCACCAAGCCGACGAUCUGUAGCUGGUCUGAGAGGACGACCAGCCACACUGGGACUGAGACACGGACCAGACUCCUACGGGAGGCAGCAGUGAGGAAUAUUGGACAAUGGGCGCAAGCCUGAUCCAGCCAUGCCGCGUGCAGGAUGACGGUCCUAUGGAUUGUAAACUGCUUUUAUACAGGAAGAAACACUCCGACGUGUCGGAGCUUGACGGUACUGUAAGAAUAAGGAUCGGCUAACUCCGUG